GUCCCUGCAGCGCAUUUAAUAGCGCGUUGGACUUGAAAUUCAAAGGUCAUGGGUUCGAAUUCCACCUGGGAUG